rnacentral:lncRNA from 1 species
AUAACACAUAACACAUAAUUGCACAUUUACUCAAAUGCGACUAAUGCCAAACAUCAAUGUCAUGCCAACCUAGACACGACUAAUGCAUGUGGUACCAUCUUCUUUAUCAAGGAACUUACCAUUGAUAUUCUUCUUUAUUGGACAAGUCCAAUAUCCUUCUUUAUCAGACAAGUCUGAUAUCCCUAAAUAAUGCAUGAAUUUAUGAAUGUCAUGCGUUUACCAAACAUAUGAUAAUCACUUAGCACGAAGCUACUGCUCACUACAUGGAUAACAUAAUCCAU